AAAAGAACUGAGUAAUAUUGGAACGCUGUUAAACUUUUUCUACAAUAGACGGAUUACAUCUCUUCUUUUCAUGAACGCGGUCAUCCGUUAAACAUGAAAACAGCUCCAAACAUGAUACACUCUGAAUGUUGCACUAAACCCAUGGCAGUGCUCAUACAAGUUACUGCCUAGUGAGAUGAGAUCAGGGAGCUCUCACAAAAGAGAAAAAAUAGAGACGAGACCAGGCAGCAUGUCAAUAUGCAUUGAGUAAAAUAGACCAAAACACUAUACUUGCCCUACAAUAAAAUGCCAUACUCCGCGUCUGCGGCACUAUAGCUCGAUAUACCAUAGGCACCACGCCUAGUUAUGCCUGCAACAAGUAUGCAUCGAAGCGGAGCUGAUCCUCCUUCAGAAUCACGUAUAGGCAAACCCCCAGUUUGCGCCAUGCUCCAUCUCCUCGAAGAAGAAAGGACCAUGAUACACAUCCAGUUUCAGCACAUUUUCUCCUCCUGGAAGAAACAAAGCACCACCUAAAUUCAGUAAAGUGAAAACUUCAGAGUUUGCGUGGAUUAGUGUAAAACAACAUCUCCAGUGUAAAUGUCCUUGGUUCGACCGUUACUGCCUAUGUGUGCCUGCCAUGUCUUCUCUAGUCAGCACACUAAAUGAAUAUACACAUGGAGACCGUUGUAGCCAAAUUGGUGACAUGCUUGCUCUAUAGAGUCUAACCAAAAAAAGGGUACGACAAAAAUCUAUCUCUUUGUUUCAGACAGUGUAAACAGGUCGCAAGGAAAAAUCAUCUAAUAUUGUUUUUCCUUAAAGGCAAAGAGCCCAAGAAAGACCAGUUUUCAUCGAUCUUAACUAAAAGACGGAUAGUUGCCUCAUCUGGGGGACACUUGGCUAAAAGAAUAAAAAGGAACUACCUGCAUCUGACUUUCAGAGUGUAUAUUUUCAUGAAACGAUAAUUGGAUCCAAAAUCCCCCCCAUAUGAGCACUACUUCUCUUACAAGACGAAAAGAGCUUAGUUAUUUGCAAUCUCUAGACAGUCUGUACCUUAUUAACAAUAACUCAAACAAGAAUUUGAUAUGCAAGGGUUAAAGAAAUACUCAAAUCAUCAAUGGUGCUAACAAAUGUAUGGUCUAGUUUAUUUUAACCAACAGAAGAACAAAAAAAAUAUCAAGUUUGCAAGGUUCCACCUGAUAUUUCUAAAAGACGAGUUAAGACAUUCAGCUAAAUCUAGAUCGUAACACCAAUCUAUAAUUUGAGAUACAACUUGAUAUAAAAGCCAACUCAGUAAUAUGUUGGUCCUUGAAAGGAACCAUCCCAAACAGUAGCCUACAUAAAAAAAAACAUGACGGACAGUAGCCAGUAGUAUUAGGUACAGAACAACGGAGUGGGAAAUGUGCAAUCACAACCUACGAUAUAGCCAAACAAUAAUACCAUACAGAAUCAUAAAAAAAGCAAGUCUAAUGCAUGUAUGACAGAACAAGGUUUGAUUAAGUAGAACGUGCAUUAUGGACAUCUUGCUUCUAAUGAAAAUUCCAAGUUAAUAAUUAUGGAAAGGGGAACAUGCACACAAUAUAAUGGUAAUGUAAGUCCAACUAUAACUGCAACAAAAUAAAGCAUGAAACAAAGGAAGCACCUCUUGUGAUGGGUUAGACCCAAAAGGCACACGCAGUUUCCCAUAGUGCUGACAUAGUAUCAGCAGCAACUAAAUAAGUAACUUGCGAGGAUCACCACUCUGGUAUUGACUGGCGAAGAUUCAUACCAUUAAUCAUCUAAUCGAGCCAUUUAUUUACAUCCUUUGAUUCAGCACUUCCACCAACAAGAGGGCCACGAACAGGUUGAUGGUAGAAAACAUGGAAGUAACUAAGCGCACUGCCAUCAGUGAUCC
rnacentral:lncRNA from 1 species